ensembl:lncRNA
GUGGUACCCCUUAUGUUUUUGUUCAUGACGACAAAAAACAACAGUGUUACCCCUUAUGUUUUAUUCAUGACGACCAAUAAAAAACAAGUGUUACCCCUUAUGUUUUUUUUCAUGACGACCAAUAAAAAACAACAUGUUGCCUUAUGUUUUUGUUCAUGACGACAAAAAACAACAGUGUUAUCCCUUAUGUUUUAUUCAUGACGACCAAUAAAAAACAAGUGUUACCCCUUAUGUUUUUUUUCAUGACGACCAAUAAAAACAACAGUGUUACCCCUUAUAUUUUAUUUGACCAGGACAACAGUGUUACCCCUUAUAUUUUAUUUGAUCAGGACAACAGUGUUACCCCUUAUGUUUUUUUUCAUGACGACCGAUAAAAAAACACAGUGUUUCCCCCUUUUGUUUUUUUUCAUGACGACCGAUAAAAAACAACAGUGUUACCCCUUAUGUUUUUUUUCAUGACGGCCGAUAAAAAACAACAGUGUUACCCCUUAUGUUUUUGUUCAUGACGACAAAAAACAACAGUGUUACCCCUUAUGUUUUAUUCAUGACGACCAAUAAAAAACAACAGUGUUACCCCUUAUGUUUUUUUUCAUGACGACCAAUAAAAAACAACAGUGUUACCCCUUAUGUUUUUUUCAACAUGGUCUCACAGGAAUCCGUGAAAUGACUACGGUCGGACGCUUAACUUGAAAUCCGUGGCCACAUCACGGAAACACGCCGAUAUUCGUGUGUGAGCCACGGAAUAACAGUGUCAUUUACUUGCAAUGGAGCAAAUUCCGUGGCCACAUCACGGACAAUUGAAGUGAUUCCGUCAGACCACCACAGAUUUUGAGUUAAGCCCCCACUGUGGUCAAAUGUAGCACACACAGAUUGAAACGGGAGCACACACACAGAUUGAAACGGGAAUCUGUGUGUGUGCCAUGGAAUAUCAUUGUCAUUUACUUGCAUUGGAGCAACUUCCGUGGACACAACAAGGACAAUUUAAGUGUUUCAGUGAGACCACCCCGGGUUUUGAGUUAAGCCCCCGUGGUCGACUCGCUCGUUGAAACGGGGAUCCGUGUGUGAGCCACGGAACAUCAGCGUCAUUAACUUGCAUUGGAGCGAAUUCCGUGGCCACAUCACGGAAAUCGGCGUGUUUCCGUGAUGUGUCCACGGAUUUCGAGUUAUUCGUCCGUAGUCAUUUCACAGAUUCCUGUGAGACCAGGUUGGUUUUUUUCAUGGCGACCAAUAAAAAACAACAUUGUUACCCCUUAUGUUUUAUUCGAUACAUUUCGACAGUGUUACCCCUUAUGGUUUUUUCAUGACGACAGAUAAAAAACGACAGUGUUACCCGUUACGUUUAAUUUGAUCAAAACAACAGUGUUACCCCUUAUGUUCUUUCCCCAUGAUGAUUGAUGAAAAACGACGGUGUUACCCCUUAUAUUUUAUUUGACAAAGACAAAUAUAUAUAUUUUUUCUACUUUUUUUUUUUAUGACGACUAAAACGGCGGAUGUUGCCGGCAAGCUAAGCCAAAUAUGCUCACGUUUAGAUUCCAAAACUCUUGAUCUUCUGGGAAUUAAAUGUGCAAAAAACAUGACUUGAAGCUGACAUGCAUAAUAUUUGUAAUCAACCAAUUGAUGGCCGUUAUUUGAGAGCCUACAUUUAAGUAAGAGUAAGAGAUGUCUAUUCGUAGCGCGAGUACAGCGUUAUUUUGGGAGUGAAAUUCUGCGGUUAGUUCAAUAUCACGUGGUGGUGUUUAGGGUGGUGGUUAGGGUGGUGUUGGUUAGGGUGGUGGUUAGGGUGGUGGUGAGGGUGGUGUUGGUUAGGGUGGUGGUGGUUAGUAUGGUGGUAGUUAGGGUGGUGUUGGUUAGGGUGGUGGUGGUUAGGGUGGUGGUGAGUUAGGGUGGUGUUGG